rnacentral:rRNA from 1 species
AGAGUUUGAUCCUGGCUCAGAUUGAACGCUGGCGGCAUGCCUAACACAUGCAAGUCGAACGGAAACGAAGGAAGCUUGCUUCCAGGCGUCGAGUGGCGGACGGGUGAGUAAUGCUUGGGAAUCUACCGAGUAGUGGGGGAUAGCCAUUGGAAACGAUGAUUAAUACCGCAUAUAUCCUACGGGGGAAAGCAGGGGACCUUCGGGCCUUGCGCUAUUCGAUGAGCCUGAGUGAGAUUAGCUAGUUGGUGGGGUAAAGGCCUACCAAGGCGACGAUCUCUAGCUGGUCUGAGAGGAUGAUCAGCCACACUGGGACUGAGACACGGCCCAGACUCCUACGGGAGGCAGCAGUGGGGAAUAUUGCACAAUGGGCGAAAGCCUGAUGCAGCAAUGCCGCGUGUGUGAAGAAGGCCUUAGGGUUGUAAAGCACUUUCAAUAGAGAAGAAAAGCUUGAGAAUAAUACUCUCAAGUCUUGACGUAACCUAUAGAAGAAGCACCGGCUAAUUCCGUGCCAGCAGCCGCGGUAAUACGGAAGGUGCGAGCGUUAAUCGGAAUUACUGGGCGUAAAGCGCGCGUAGGCUGUUAAAUAAGUCGUAUGUGAAAUCCCCGGGCUUAACCUGGGAACUGCAUCCGAAACUAUUUAGCUAGAGUAUGGGAGAGGGAAGUAGAAUUUCCGGUGUAGCGGUGAAAUGCGUAGAUAUC